GGGUCGGUAGCUCAGCCGGUAGAGCAGCGGACUUUUAAUCCGUUGGUCGUGGGUUCGAAUCCCACCCAACCCACCA
rnacentral:tRNA from 1 species